AACAAAGGUUUUUCCCAGCAUGCCAGGGAUUAUUAGGCCAGCAGCAAACAAACGGAAUUCACAACGUCAAAGCUUCAGAUGAGUCCAAAGAGCAGAGGAAGGGGGUUGAGAGAAAAUGAAGAUUACAGUGAACAACGUGGAGGAAGGAGAGAAGGGAAAGGCAAUAGAUUAAAUAAAGGUGUUGUCCAUACCUCACAACCUCUGAGGAUGCCUGCCAUAGAUGUGGGCGAAAUGUCAG
rnacentral:lncRNA from 11 species